rnacentral:rRNA from 1 species
UACGGGGGGGGCAAGCGUUGUUCGGAAUUACUGGGCGUAAAGGGCCAGUAGGCGGCCAACUAAGUCCGACGUGAAAUCCCCAGGCUUAACCUGGGAACUGCGUCGGAUACUGGAUGGCUUGAAUCCGGGAGAGGGAUGCAGAAUUCCAGGUGUAGCGGUGAAAUGCGUAGAUAUCUGGAGGAACACCGGUGGCGAAGGCGGCAUUCUGGACCGACAUUGACGCUGAGGAGCGAAAGCCAGGGGAGCAAACGGG